UGAGGAAUAUUGGUCAAUGGCCGGAAGGCUGAACCAGCCAAGCCGCGUGAAGGACGAAGGUGCCAAGCAUUGUAAACUUCUUUUGUCAAGGGACAAAAUCAGGCUCGAGAGCCUGACCGAGGGUACUUGAAGAAAAAGCAUCGGCUAACUCCGUGCCAGCAGCCGCGGUAAUACGGAGGAUGCGAGCGUUAUCCGGAUUUAUUGGGUUUAAAGGGUGCGUAGGCGGACUGUUAAGUCAGCGGUAAAAGCCCGGGGCUCAACCCCGGCGAGCCGUUGAAACUGGCUGUCUUGAGAUGUCGAGAG
rnacentral:rRNA from 1 species